GACGUAGGGCGCGAGCGUUGUCCGGAUUUAUUGGGCGUAAAGAGCUCGUAGGCGGCUUGUCGCGUCGGCUGUGAAAACCCGCGGCUCAACUGUGGGCGGGCAGCUGAUACGGGCAGGCUGGAGUUCGGUAGGGGAGACUGGAAUUCCUGGUGUAGCGGUGAAAUGCGCAGAUAUCAGGAAGAACACCUAUGGCGAAGGCGGCUCACUGGCCCGGUACUGACGCUGAGGUGCGAAAGCGUGGGGAGCAAACAGG
rnacentral:rRNA from 1 species